AUUGAACGCUGGCGGCAGGCCUAACACAUGCAAGUCGAGCGAGCGGCGGACGGGUGAGUAAUGUCUGGGGACUGCCCGCUAGAGGGGGAUAACUACUGGAAACGGUGGCUAAUAUCGCAUACUAUCGGAUAACCCAUAUGGGAUUAGCUAGUAGGUGGGGUAAAGGCCAAACUAGUCGACGAUCUAUAGCUGGUCUGAGAGGAUGAUCCGGAACACUGGUGAUAAGACACGGCACAGACUCCAACGGAGGCAGCGGUGAGGAAUAUAGGACAAUAGGCACAAGCCUGGUGCGGCCAUGCGGAGUAUAAGAGGAAGGCCUUAGGGUUGUAGAGGACUUUCAGCGGGAGGGCGUUACCCGCAGAAGAAGCACCGGCUAAAGCCGUGCCAGCAGCCGCGGUAAUAC
rnacentral:rRNA from 1 species